UACUGAUCCGGGGCAUGCUACACAGCCAUGACACCCACUGCAGGGUGCACGGGUGAGGAAAGGAUCAAAACUGGAGGAGUGACUCUAAUGAGGGUGUGAGAGAAGGCAGCUGCCCCCACCCUGCCCUCCAGCCUCUGGCCAAUGCAACCAGGCUGCACUGCAAAUGAGAGCGGAGAAAUGGGGAUGGCUGAGCACAUCCCACCUAAACCUUCCUCCUGUGACUGCUUCGUGGCCCUCCCUCCAGCCACCGCUUCCCAGGCUGUGAUCUUUGGCAAAAAUUCAGACCGGCCCAGCGAUGAGGUCCAGGAAGUCGUCUACUUCCCUGCUGCAGCCUACCCCAAUGGGACCAAGGUGCAGUGUACGUACAUUGAGGUUGACCAAGCAGAGAAGACCCACGCGGUCAUCCUGAGCCGCCCAGCUUGGCUGUGGGGAGCAGAGAUGGGAGCCAAUGAGCAUGGGGUCUGCAUUGGGAAUGAAGGUGUGUGGACCAAGGAGCCUGUUGGAGAGGAGGAGGCUCUGCUGGGAAUGGACCUGGUCAGGCUAGGUUUGGAGAGGGGCCGUUCAGCCCAUGAAGCUGUGCAGGUGAUCACAACUCUGCUGGAGCGCUAUGGCCAAGGAGGCAGCUGCAAGGAGGAGCCCACCCCUUUCAUCUAUCAUAACACCUUCCUGCUGGCAGACCGGACCGAAGCUUGGGUGCUGGAGACGGCUGGCCGGUAUUGGGCAGCUGAGAAAAUCAGAGAAGGGGCCCGAAAUAUCUCCAACCAGCUGAGCAUUGGCACAGACAUCGCUGCUGAGCACAUGAAGCUGAGGCACCAUGCCCAGAGCCAGGGCUGGUGGAGUGGGGAUGGGGAGUUCAACUUUGCUGAAAUCUUCUCACUCACCCAUCAGCCUGUCCGCAUGGACGCAGCCAAGGCUCGGUACUGUGCUGGCCGGGAGCUGCUGCAGCAGCAUGCAGGCCACAUCACGGUGGAGACCAUCAUGGGCAUCCUUAGGGACAAGGCCAGCGGGAUCUGUGUGGACUCGGAGGGCUUCUGCACCACGGGUAGCAUGGUGUCCAUCCUUCCCCAGGACCCAGCUUUGCCCUGUAUCCAUUUCUUUACAGCCACACCUGAUCCUUCCAGGUCUGUGUUUAAACCCUUUGUCUUCGUUGCCAAUGUAACACCAGUGCCCCAGGUGAGGUCUCCAAGCUUUGGUGCUGAGGAUCCUGUCAAGAAGGUCCCUCGAUUCCAGAGCAGAGUCGAUCGGAGGCAUGAACUCUAUCGGGAGCACCAAGCUGCAGUGAAGCUCAUGCAGACAGGCCAGGAGCGGGGCCAAAAGCUCCAGCAGACCAUGCAAGAUCUGGAGAUGCAGGGCCUGGAGGCUGUAAAGGAAAUGCUGGCAGGUGGUAUCACCCUGGACCCAGAGGAGCUAGCAGACCUCUUCUUUGACUGUAUAGACACGGAGAUCAAAUUCUACAAAUAAGUCCCACAGCAGGGGGCUCCUCGGUACUGCCCAGUGCUCCUCGUGGUGGUUUGCUCUGAGCUUGGAAUACUUCAGACAAAUGCAAGCCCCUUGCCACUGUCCCAAUCCUGACUCCUCACCUCACAUCUGAACACUGCUUCUUUAAUUGGACCAGAGCUGCCCACCACUGCACAGUAGCAGCUUCAAGCCAUGUGGGUUGUCACUCUGCUGCCAUGUUGGGGCUGAUGCUGGACUGGAGGUAACACCUUUGGACUAGAAUUUCCUGACCUGGCCAUGCCCAGCCCUCCCCCACCAAUGUGAGCCACCACCUCUUCUCUCUUACUACUUGUCAUUCUCUUGGAGUCCAGAAUUUCAAUGGUGGCCUCCUCAUUUUAAUGGGCUGCUGGUACUGAGUAUCCUGAUAUGGGAUCAGGAGAACUGGAAAAAGGGAGAGCCUCAGCUAGGUGGGUGGGUCUGAAUUUGGUGGCUGGGCUACCUGUACUCACGUUUGCUCUUUCCUUGGAGAAAGUGCUGCUAAGCUAGUAGCCUUCCAUCCUCUAUAGAAUGGAGAUGAUCCCUACCUACCCAUGGAGAAUGAAGGAGCUGAUGUCUGUACAAACUGUCUACUGAGCAGCACUUACCCCCCAACCUCCUCUUAUCCCCUGAGAGAUUGGGACACAAGGCCACAGGCAAAUAAGCUAAAAUAAAGGGGCUUUACAUGUCA